AACUGUUCACGGGUGCUCCCAGCCAUUUGUGGAAAUAUCGCUGUGAGUGUUACUGACCGGCCAGAUGGGAAUCAAUGUAGUGGUCAUACAGUAUUAGGGUACCCUGUGUGUCUGCACGUGGACUACCCACAGAUCUGGUCUGGUCUGUGUCAGUGUACCUCAUGAGAUGAAGUCAUUCUAGAGAAAUAGUGCAAAAACAAACAUCUACAAAUAACAGCUGGAACACCUGAGCAUUCCCAGAGGUCCUUGGGAGCACCCGUGGACACUUGGGCUGAGAAUACAGGAAGAUUUCCUAAGUAUCCAGGUCUUCACACCACGGAUACCUCUGAGAAGGGCCCACAACUGUGACCAGUGGUGUUUAGGAAAUAACAGUAAGAACAGCAUUGACAAAAUACACCCAACCCUCAGGGGUUUGUUCUUAUUUCAAACAAACUGAACCUGCAAGGACCUCGUGAUGCAGCCCUCCAGGAAAUGGAAAAUGCUGCCUACAACUUCUGAACUGCCAGGGGAUGCUUAGUGCCGAGGCGUCUGCACGAGGAUGCAAGGCAGGGGCUUGCACCUGCUCGGUCACAGGAUACAGCACCUAUUAUAUGACACAUUGGACUCACCGUUAAAAAUCGCACUGGACUCAUCUGGGAUUUAACAGGAGUACAGACAUAAGUUAGCCAGAAAACAGUCUCUCUUCUCUUUCCCUUAGUAGGGGCAUGCUCUGAAGUCCCUACUGAUGAAAGGAAAUGAAUGCUCCAAUGCAUCUCAAAUCAAAACACGAAUCUUAUAACCAAGUAGAAACGCAACAAUGAAAACUGGCGUGCGAGAGGAGAAGGAUGGGACGAAUGUUAGAACUAUUCGUCCCUUGCCGAUUUUUUAACCUGACUCGUUAAAGCCUUGGGUUUCUCAAUCUGAGAUCAUGAUUUCAUUUUUCCCAAUUCCUGAUGCAAAUUGUAAUGUCCUUUAAAUAGGUAUUUUAUUUAAGGUUCAACCACAGCAAUAAAUUUAUCGGUUGCUAACA
rnacentral:lncRNA from 1 species